UAGUCACGAGGUGCAUCAUUUAAUGGCGGGUACUCAUCAGUUAACUGGAGGAUUUACACCAAUGUCAUGGGUUAAAUGACGAAGACCAACUUCCAGAAUAGUCAUGGUCAAAUAUUCCCUUGUGUUCAAAUUCUUGAAAGAGAAAGAUAAUGUUAUUCUACUGUUUCUCCAAAGGAUUAUGGUAUGCAAAAUUAUAAAUGAAUGAAUAAAUAAAUAAAAACAGAAAAUAAAAUAAAAUCAGGCAUUCAAAAAGACAAAAAAAAAAAAAAAAAACAACACCAUCUGAUCACUCGCAGACUUGUAGUGAGAGUGAAACACUUUGUCUCAGGUAAGAUUUUAAAAAUAGAGCACGAAGAUGAACAUGUCAUUGGUUAUGUCCAAGCAUUAAUUUGUGCUGUAAUAUUUUCUGAAUAAAAGUCAAGUCUGACACCAUGCGCUGCUGCUGCACCAACCACACCAUGGAUCCUGCCUUGGGUCCUGGAUGGCAACCACUCAGGCAGCCAACUAUUCCAUGCCAACAGCUGGAACAUAAACAUCCAUCUGCCACAGCUGAAGUAAAGCUUCAUGGCCUUCCCCAGCCACUAGAGUCCUCAACACUGAGGCACCAGUGUGCUGGACAAUGCACACAGAAACACACCACA